rnacentral:rRNA from 1 species
UGUUAGUGGAAGCGUCUGGAAAGGCGCGCGAUACAGGGUGACAGCCCCGUACACAAAAGCGCAUGUGCUGUGAGCUCGAUGAGUAGGGCGGGACACGUGAUAUCCUGUCUGAAUAUGGGGGGACCAUCCUCCAAGGCUAAAUACUCCUGACUGACCGAUAGUGAACCAGUACCGUGAGGGAAAGGCGAAAAGAACCCCGGCGAGGGGAGUGAAAAAGAACCUGAAACCGUGUACGUACAAGCAGUGGGAGCACCCUUCGGGGUGUGACUGCGUACCUUUUGUAUAAUGGGUCAGCGACUUAUAUUCUGUAGCAAGGUUAACCGAAUAGGGGAGCCGGAGGGAAACCGAGUCUUAACCGGGCGUUAAGUUGCAGGGUAUAGACCCGAAACCCGGUGAUCUAGCCAUGGGCAGGUUGAAGGUUGGGUAACACUAACUGGAGGACCGAACCGACUAAUGUUGAAAAAUUAGCGGAUGACCUGUGGCUGGGGGUGAAAGGCCAAUCAAACCGGGAGAUAGCUGGUUCUCCCCGAAAGCUAUUUAGGUAGCGCCUCGUGAAUUCAUCUCCGGGGGUAGAGCACUGUUUCGGCUAGGGGGCCAUCCCGGCUUACCAACCCGAUGCAAACUGCGAAUACCGGAGAAUGUUAUCACGGGAGACACACGGCGGGUGCUAACGUCCGUCGUGAAGAGGGAAACAACCCAGACCGCCAGCUAAGGUCCCAAAGUCAUGGUUAAGUGGGAAACGAUGUGGGAAGGCCCAGACAGCCAGGAUGUUGGCUUAGAAGCAGCCAUCAUUUAAAGAAAGCGUAAUAGCUCACUGGUCGAGUCGGCCUGCGCGGAAGAUGUAACGGGGCUAAACCAU